GAUAACUAUAUUUAUAAUACAUAAAAUACUACUUAUAAAAUUUAUAAAAUUAAUUAAUUAAUAUCUGCUCAACGCGCGGGUCAUAAUCUAGUAUAUAUUUAAAACAAACCUCUGUGUCACCUCAUAGUAAUUUCUUCCACAUGUGCAAACAUAUCCCUAAUGUGUACGCCUUAGAGAGUUCUCUUGUGUUUUUAUAUUUCACCUCUUUUUUUUUUACUUGUGUUUUUAUGUUUCACCUCAUUUUUUUCUACUUAGUUUCUAAAUAACUUUUCCCUCUUUUAAUCCCUCUAAUCCUUAGUUUUUUUUAAUGACUUCCUCCAACAAUUUCUUCUUCCUUCUUGUGACUGCUUUGGUCAUUCGCCAUCCUCGCAAAAUCAUCUUCUGCAAAAUCAUUUGUUCAUGUGCGGUAAUUCUUCGAAAUCGCCAACUCUACUCCAAAGAUACCCUAAAAGAGGAAAUCCAAGUUGGAAUGGGACCAACCAGCCGGGAAACUUCGCUACCCAUCAUACCUAGAGCAAAAUGGCACAUGAAAAUUCUCAGGAAUUAGUGUUCUCCAAUGCUAUGACAAAGUAUAUUUAUACAUCAAUAUUUUUUCUCUCACCCUUCUAAACUCUUUUCCUUAUUUAUUUGUUUUUAAGUGUCACUUUGCUAUGUGUGUCUCAUAUUCUUAGUUUUACUUCAAUGUAGUAUAUGUUGAGUAGCUUAUAAAUUGCAGUUGAAAAAGUUUGACUCAAAUAAUUUUAAUCAUGUUUAAAAGAUAUGUGUCAUUGAAUUGGAUCAAGUAAAUUAGAUCAUUUUAAAUUUCAUAAGACAAA